rnacentral:rRNA from 1 species
UACGUAGGGUGCAAGCGUUGUCCGGAAUUAUUGGGCGUAAAGAGCUCGUAGGCGGUGUGUCGCGUCGGCCGUGAAAACCUGCAGCUUAACUGUGGGCUUGCGGUCGAUACGGGCAUCACUGGAGUUCGGCAGGGGAGACUGGAAUUCCUGGUGUAGCGGUGAAAUGCGCAGAUAUCAGGAGGACACCGGUGGCGAAGGCGGGUCUCUGGGCCGAUACUGACGCUGAGGAGCGAAAGCGUGGGGAGCGAACAGG